rnacentral:rRNA from 1 species
GGGUUGUGAGGUUAAGCGACUAAGCGUACACGGUGGAUGCCCUGGCAGUCAGAGGCGAUGAAGGACGUGCUAAUCUGCGAAAAGCGUCGGUAAGGUGAUAUGAACCGUUACAGCCGGCGAUGUCCGAAUGGGGAAACCCAGUGCAAUUCGUUGCACUAUCGUUAACUGAAUACAUAGGUUAACGAGGCGAACCGGGGGAACUGAAACAUCUAAGUACCCCGAGGAAAAGAAAUCAACCGAGAUUCCCCCAGUAGCGGCGAGCGAACGGGGAGCAGCCCAGAGUCUGAAUCAGCUUGUGUGUUAGUGGAACGGUCUGGAAAGUCCGACGGUACAGGGUGAUAGUCCCGUACACCAAAAUGCACAGGCUGUGAACUCGAAGAGUAGGGCGGGACACGUGGUAUCCUGUCUGAAUAUGGGGGGACCAUCCUCCAAGGCUAAAUACUCCUGACUGACCGAUAGUGAACCAGUACCGUGAGGGAAAGGCGAAAAGAACCCCGGCGAGGGGAGUGAAAAAGAACCUGAAACCGUGUACGUACAAGCAGUGGGAGCACCUUCGGGUGUGACUGCGUACCUUUUGUAUAAUGGGUCAGCGACUUAUAUUCUGUAGCAAGGUUAACCGUAUAGGGGAGCCGCAGGGAAACCGAGUCUUAACUGGGCGUUAAGUUGCAGGGUAUAGACCCGAAACCCGGUGAUCUAGCCAUGGGCAGGUUGAAGGUUGGGUAACACUAACUGGAGGACCGAACCGACUAAUGUUGAAAAAUUAGCGGAUGACUUGUGGCUGGGGGUGAAAGGCCAAUCAAACCGGGAGAUAGCUGGUUCUCCCCGAAAGCUAUUUAGGUAGCGCCUCGUGAACUCAUCUUCGGGGGUAGAGCACUGUUUCGGCUAGGGGGUCAUCCCGACUUACCAACCCGAUGCAAACUACGAAUACCGAAGAAUGUUAUCACGGGAGACACACGGCGGGUGCUAACGUCCGUCGUGAAGAGGGAAACAACCCAGACCGCCAGCUAAGGUCCCAAAGUCAUGGUUAAGUGGGAAACGAUGUGGGAAGGCACAGACAGCCAGGAUGUUGGCUUAGAAGCAGCCAUCAUUUAAAGAAAGCGUAAUAGCUCACUGGUCGAGUCGGCCUGCGCGGAAGAUGUAACGGGGCUAAACCAUGCACCGAAGCUGCGGCAGCGACACUAUGUGUUGUUGGGUAGGGGAGCGUUCUGUAAGCCUGCGAAGGUGACCUGUGAGGGUUGCUGGAGGUAUCAGAAGUGCGAAUGCUGACAUAAGUAACGAUAAAGCGGGUGAAAAGCCCGCUCGCCGGAAGACCAAGGGUUCCUGUCCAACGUUAAUCGGGGCAGGGUGAGUCGACCCCUAAGGCGAGGCCGAAAGGCGUAGUCGAUGGGAAACAGGUUAAUAUUCCUGUACUUGGUGUUACUGCGAAGGGGGGACGGAGAAGGCUAUGUUAGCCGGGCGACGGUUGUCCCGGUUUAAGCAUGUAGGCUGGUUAUCCAGGCAAAUCCGGAUAAUCAAGGCUGAGGUGUGAUGACGAGGCACUACGGUGCUGAAGUAACAAAUGCCCUGCUUCCAGGAAAAGCCUCUAAGCAUCAGGUAACAUCAAAUCGUACCCCAAACCGACACAGGUGGUCAGGUAGAGAAUACCAAGGCGCUUGAGAGAACUCGGGUGAAGGAACUAGGCAAAAUGGUGCCGUAACUUCGGGAGAAGGCACGCUGGUGUGUAGGUGAAGUCCCUGCGGAUGGAGCUGAGACCAGUCGAAGAUACCAGCUGGCUGCAACUGUUUAUUAAAAACACAGCACUGUGCAAACACGAAAGUGGACGUAUACGGUGUGACGCCUGCCCGGUGCCGGAAGGUUAAUUGAUGGGGUUAUCCGUAAGGAGAAGCUCUUGAUCGAAGCCCCGGUAAACGGCGGCCGUAACUAUAACGGUCCUAAGGUAGCGAAAUUCCUUGUCGGGUAAGUUCCGACCUGCACGAAUGGCGUAAUGAUGGCCAGGCUGUCUCCACCCGAGACUCAGUGAAAUUGAACUCGCUGUGAAGAUGCAGUGUACCCGCGGCAAGACGGAAAGACCCCGUGAACCUUUACUAUAGCUUGACACUGAACAUUGAGCCUUGAUGUGUAGGAUAGGUGGGAGGCUUUGAAGCGUGGACGCCAGUCUGCGUGGAGCCAACCUUGAAAUACCACCCUUUAAUGUUUGAUGUUCUAACGUUGGCCCCUUACCGGGGUUGCGGACAGUGUCUGGUGGGUAGUUUGACUGGGGCGGUCUCCUCCCAAAGCGUAACGGAGGAGCACGAAGGUUAGCUAAUCCUGGUCGGACAUCAGGAGGUUAGUGCAAUGGCAUAAGCUAGCUUGACUGCGAGCGUGACGGCGCGAGCAGGUGCGAAAGCAGGUCAUAGUGAUCCGGUGGUUCUGAAUGGAAGGGCCAUCGCUCAACGGAUAAAAGGUACUCCGGGGAUAACAGGCUGAUACCGCCCAAGAGUUCAUAUCGACGGCGGUGUUUGGCACCUCGAUGUCGGCUCAUCACAUCCUGGGGCUGAAGUAGGUCCCAAGGGUAUGGCUGUUCGCCAUUUAAAGUGGUACGCGAGCUGGGUUUAGAACGUCGUGAGACAGUUCGGUCCCUAUCUGCCGUGGGCGCUGGAGAAUUGAGGGGGGCUGCUCCUAGUACGAGAGGACCGGAGUGGACGCAUCACUGGUGUUCGGGUUGUCAUGCCAAUGGCACUGCCCGGUAGCUAAAUGCGGAAGAGAUAAGUGCUGAAAGCAUCUAAGCACGAAACUUGCCCCGAGAUGAGUUCUCCCUGAGACUUUAAGUCUCCUGAAGGAACGUU